GAUUCAGUGGCCGAGUGGAUAACGCGAUGGUAUUUGAAGCGAAAGGUGCUGGGUUAGAGUCCCAGAGUAAAC
rnacentral:tRNA from 1 species